rnacentral:rRNA from 1 species
AACGAACGCUGGCGGCAUGCCUAACACAUGCAAGUCGAACGAGACCUUCGGGUCUAGUGGCUCACGGGUGCGUACCGCGUGGGAACCUGCCCUUAGGUUCGGUAUAACUCCCCGAAAGGGGUUCUAAUACCGGAUAAUGUCUUCGGACCAAAGAUUUAUCGCUUUUGAAUGGGAGAGCGCUGGAUUAGCUAGUUGGUGGGGUAACGGCCUACAAAGGGGAUGAUACAUAGCUGGUCUGAGAGGAUGAUCAGCGACACUGGUACUGAGACACGGACCAGACUCCUAAGGCAGGCAGCAGUGAGGAACAGUGGACAAUGGGUGAGAGUAUGAUCCAGCGAGCCAGCGUGAAGGACGACAGCCCCAGGGGUUGUAAAAGUCCUUUGGAGAGGGAUAACUCUACUCCCGGGAGAGUAGAUGAAGGUACUGUAAGAAUAAGCACCGGCUAACUCCGUG